CUGUAUAUCAUUCGUGUGAUAAGAAUAAAAGUGUAAACAUGAAGAUUUAUUUGUUUUUCUCUAUGGUGCUACUUGCACUUGCAUCAUUCGCUUUGGCUAAUGUUCAUAUCAAAGAUGUUUGUCCAAAAGGUACAAUAAGAGGUCCGAACGGCCAGUGCUUCAAAUCAGAGUAAAGUCAGCUGCAGUCAGCUCACCAAUCAACUCCCUGAAACUUCAAUAUCAUUCUUAAUUUUUUUUCUGACAUAAAAUCUUAAUAAAAUGUAGGUUUUUUUAAAUAAAAUAA